AUUGAACGCUGGCGGCAGGCUUAACACAUGCAAGUCGAGCGGAGAUGAGGUGCUUGCACCUUAUCUUAGCGGCGGACGGGUGAGUAAUGCUUAGGAAUCUGCCUAUUAGUGGGGGACAACAUUCCGAAAGGAAUGCUAAUACCGCAUACGUCCUACGGGAGAAAGCAGGGGAUCUUCGGACCUUGCGCUAAUAGAUGAGCCUAAGUCGGAUUAGCUAGUUGGUGGGGUAAAGGCCUACCAAGGCGACGAACUGUAGCGGGUCUGAGAGGAUGAUCCGCCACACUGGGACUGCGACACGGCCCAGACUCCUACGGGAGGCAGCAGUGGGGAAUAUGGGACAAUGGGGGAAACCCUGAUCCAGCCAUGCCGCGUGUGUGAAGAAGGCCUUAUGGUUGUAAAGCACUUUAAGCGAGGAGGAGGCUACUGAGACUAAUACUCUUGGAUAGUGGACGUUACUCGCAGAAUAAGCACCGGCUAACUCUGUGCCAGCCGCCACUGUAA
rnacentral:rRNA from 1 species